AGUAGUCUAAAAAUGCACCUAACUUUAACCAUGUACUGUGAUUUCAUGUAGAGAAAAAACAAUUUGGAUAUUUGGAGAGAUGGCAGACGGGUUUCUAUCGGCGAAAACGAAAGAUUAUUUCUUUUAAAAUUAACCCAAAAGAAAACUUGGGGCUGAUUGCGUGUGCUUAUGGUUGUCAGUGUAAUGUGUGAAAUCUAAAAGCAGGUAAGCCACUGACUAACGCACAUUGUGUCAGUUGCCAGUUCCACUGUGCGUGUGACAGCGGCUAACCUGGUUUUGGGAGUACUUCUCAUCUUUUGGCUCGUCCAAGACCAGCCACGGCCGGACUGGAAAGACACCCAUCUACAAGCACUCCUUGAUCGUGUCCCGUGCACAUUGCCUGUUCAACAUGACCGCUCUCCCAGCGGUCUCCAUGUGAACUGUAGCCUACUUCCUCCUAUGUUCACAUAUUUUCUCUUAUUUAGGGCCACUUGCUCUUGCAUUGCCCCCUAUGGAGCCGUCCUCUUUUAUGCCACCUACUGUCAAGACUGUUGGUGAGUUUUUUGUUUCAGUUUCUGUUUCAUCUGUGUGGUGCAGACAACAUCAUCAUCAUCAAUCUCACUGGUUCCCAAUUUGAGGUCAGGGGCCCUCCAGGGGUCCUCCAAGAUGUUUUUUUUUUUGUGGGGGGGGCGAUGUUCCAGCAAAAAUGAGACACUGAACUUGGUUUUAGAACAAAAUGGAUUACAAUAUAGUAAUGUGCCCACCCCUUUAAAUUAGGUAAUGAAAACCUAAUCAAUUGUAUCCAUACAUUAUAUGGUUGUAAAAAGUAACCCUCAAGUGAGAAGUAAAGUCUCUAUUCAAAUCA